UACGUAGGUGGCUAGCGUUGUCCGGAUUUACUGGGCGUAAAGAGCGCGCAGGCGGUCGUUCAAGUCGAGUGUGAAAGCCCCCGGCUCAACUGGGGAGGGUCACUCGAUACUGGUCGACUCGAAGGCAGGAGAGGGAAGCGGAAUUCCCGGUGUAGUGGUGAAAUGCGUAGAUAUCGGGAGGAACACCAGUGGCGAAGGCGGCUUUCUGGCCUGCUCUUGACGCUGAGGCGCGAAAGCCAGGGGAGCAAACGGG
rnacentral:rRNA from 1 species